AUUGAACGCUGGCGGCAGGCCUAACACAUGCAAGUCGAACGAGUGGCGGACGGGUACGUAAUGUCUGGGAAACUGCCCGAUGGAGGGGGAUAACUACUGGAAACGGUAGCUAAUACCGCAUACCAUCGGAUGUGCCCAGAUGGGAUUAGCUAGUAGGUGGGGUAAUGGCUCACCUAGGCGACGAUCCCUAGCUGGGCUGAGCGGAUGACCGGCCACCCUGGAACUGAUCCACGGUCCAGACUCCUACGGGAGGAAGCAGUGGUGAAUAUUGCACAAUGGGCGCAAGCCUGAUGCAGCCAUGCCGCGUGUAUGAAGAAGGCCUUCGGGUUGUAAAGUACUUUCAGCGAGGAGGCGUUACUCGCAGAAGAAGCACCGGCUAACUCCGUGCCAGCAGCCGCGGUAAUUC
rnacentral:rRNA from 1 species